GACGAACGCUGGCGGCGUGCUUAACACAUGCAAGUCGUACGGUAAGGCCCUUUCGGGGGUACACGAGUGGCGAACGGAUGAGUAACACGUGAGUAACCUGCCCACAACUUUGGGAUAACGCUAGGAAACUGGUGCUAAUACUGGAUAUGUGCUCCUGCUGCAUGGUGGGGGUUGGAAAGCUCCGGCGGUUGUGGAUGGACUCGCGGCCUAUCAGCUUGUUGGUGGGGUAGUGGCCUACCAAGGCGGCGACGGGUAGCCGGCCUGAGAGGGUGACCGGCCACAUUGGGACUGAGAUACGGCCCAGACUCCUACGGGAGGCAGCAGUGGGGAAUAUUGCACAAUGGGCGCAAGCCUGAUGCAGCAACGCCGCGUGCGGGAUAACGGCCUUCGGGUUGUAAACCGCUUUCAGCAGGGACGAAGCUUUUUGUGACGGUACCUGCAGAAGAAGCACCGGCUAACUACGUG
rnacentral:rRNA from 1 species